rnacentral:lncRNA from 1 species
AUGGAAGAAGCAACAUCUAAGAUGACGGAAAUUAUUUCAGAGCCCACAGUUACACUGGAAAAUGAGGUAAAAAAAAAAUAGAAUUCUGCUCACUACCUUACAGAAAAACAAGCCAGACAAAAGGGUGGAAUGGUUAAGAGACAGUGUUGACAAUGAGCACUUGGACUAUCGCUCAUCUAAAUGCUGCUGCAUUUAUCAAAAGCCUCAUGCCUUUGGUGAAAGCUCCUCAGAGAGUGAAAAAGAGGAUGAAGAAAAUUGUAAUUUCAUGCUAUAUUUCUGGGGUCAUCACAAUGGACGGCAUCAUUCCCUUCCCAAUAGGGCUUCUAGUACUUUAUCUAAAAAACCUUGAGACACAUCUCAUCCUCUUCCUUCACCCAUGAAG